GCAUUCAAUCAGUAGCUAUUGACUGCUGAUCAUUGGCUCCAAGGGCUCGUGUCCUUUCUCCGCAGGUUUCCUUCCCGACAGUCGUGCCUUGUUGUUGGGAUCAUCUUUAUGUACAUAAAUCGGGAAGAAAAGUUUUGUUGAAGAAAGUCAUUCACUCAUAAAGAAGAGAGUAAAGAAAUGUAAAUCGAAAGUGACAUUUUAUAAAUUGAUCCAAGAUUUGGCAUUCUUUCUUUUGUAGCAGUUUGAUUUGAUGAUCAUCACUUUCAAUUAGUUUAACAAGUGUUGUGAGAUUGUGGGUGGGUUUAUUAUUAGUCCUUGCAAGUGAGCACACGCACAUAUAAAUACAUAUAGGCAUUGAGCAACUUUACAAGUUGCUUGAACAGGAUUUCGUCUUAUCCAGCACGGUAGCUGCUGGUUAUUAUUGCUUCAAUUGCCCCAUUCGACCUAAAGUUGAUAACUCUGAGCUAAUUAGUUCCUUUUCAGCGGAACGUCUUGAGAAUGGGACGAAAUAAAGUUGUGGACAGAAAUAGGAGUAGUUUGUUUUUAAAUUUACGAGUUUUUGGUUUGGGGUUGGAGAUUCGAUAAAGCAAUUAUAAUUAGGACGCGGCCCACCCCGUUUGCCAUCCAAUUGUGGAGAAAUGAUUUA